GACGAACGCUGGCGGCGUGCCUAACACAUGCAAGUCAGGGAGAAAGAGGUAGCAAUAUCUCGAGUAAACCGGCGAACGGGUGAGUAACACGUAGGUAACCUGCCCUCGAGUUGGGAAUAACUUCGAGAAAUCGAGGCUAAUACCGGAUAAUGCAACGAACCCGCAUGGGUUUGUUGUUAAAGUUCCGCGCAAGCGGAACGCUUGAGGAUGGACCUGCGGCCGAUUAGCUAGUUGGCGGAGAACAGCCCACCAAGGCGACGAUCGGUAGCCAACCUGAGAGGGUGACCGGCACACUGGGACUGAGAUACGGCCCAGACUCCUACGGGAGGCAGCAGUGAGGAAUAUUGGUCAAUGGCCGAAAGGCUGAACCAGCAACGCCGCGUGAGGGAUGAAGAU
rnacentral:rRNA from 1 species